UACGAAGGGGGCUAGCGUUGUUCGGAAUUACUGGGCGUAAAGCGCUCGCAGGCGGAUCGAUAAGUCAGGGGUGAAAUCCCGGGGCUCAACCUCGGAAUUGCCUUUGAUACUGUCAAUCUCGAGUCCGGGAGAGGUGAGUGGAAUUCCUAGUGUAGAGGUGAAAUUCGUAGAUAUUAGGAAGAACACCAGUGGCGAAGGCGGCUCACUGGACCAUAACUGACGCUGAGGCACGAAAGCUAGGGGAGCAAACAGG
rnacentral:rRNA from 1 species